CCGGCGCGUCUCUCACAGGAAAAACGACGACUUGCCCCUUUAUUGUGCAUGCGUGUCUGUGCGCAUAUCCUUCUCGCUAUCUCGACUCUCGCGCUUUUUCCGGAGACAUCACGUGUGCAUUGGGACUUCAGCGUCCGAGAGGCCCUUACGAUCAAGUGAGCAUGGAAGGAGGAGGGCGCUUUAGCACCACCGAUACGCCUGGACGCUCCGCACGCACCAAGCAAGAGACGGGAGGGGGUGGGCUCGAGCGCCUUCAGCUGCACGCCCCCUCUUUCCUCGACUCAUAGAGAUAUAGGAAACACACACCCAUCAUCGAACUUAUUGCACAGAAGGCAGUGUGCUUCCACUCGCCUCCCCCCCCCACACACACACACCCCGAAGACGCACACCUGCAGACGCAGGGAGUGCCAUAGGAAAGACCCUUACCCUUCAGGGUGCGCAAGUGUGUCUGUGUGCUUGUCUUGACCUGCCUGCCGUGAGAGCCGCCUCAUAUGCGAACGUCGACAGGAUGAGCGAUGACCUCUUUGACAUCUUCAACGGCGACACGCCACCGCUCGCGCCGGUUGACGAGGUGAUGGUGGAGGUGGGAGAUGCAUCUGCGCCGUCCGCGACCUUACCUGAGCCGCGCACGGGUUCGUUGACCUCGACAACUCCGGCGACGCGUCUCGAUGGCACCGGCGAUGCUCCCACGAUAGCCCUCUCCACCCGCUCGUCUGCAUCACCAGCGGCGCUGAAUCUGCUUCCGAUUGCGCGCACAUCGUCCUCAGCAUCUUCCCCGCCACCCACCGCGACCACCGCCUUGGUGGACGGCUUUCUUUCUCCAGACUCUCUGCCGCAGUCGUUUGCUCACUAUGAGCGCGGCGCUGCCCCUUCGCUGCCGCGCACGCGCUGCGCGACGCCUUUGCCUCUACCCCCGAGCGCGAGUGGCGGCGUCACCGUCAUCAAAGCUGCCCCUUCGCCAUCGGCGACUUCGACUGCGGAAAAUAGACGGCGAUCCUCUCACGGUGAUAGGGGCGGUGCCGCGCCAAGAGAGGGUGCGGUUUCCAGACUCGCGUCCGCACCACCGCCAUCAGCGCUAAUUACGGAGCCGCUCAGUCGCAUCCGCGUUCGCCAUGCCACCCUCAGCCUUGAACAGCUCAGUGUGCGACUGGCUGAGUUCCCAUUCGCCUCGUUCGACCUGUUUCGCGGCAUGUCGCGCCGCAGCGAUGAGGCGGUGGCCCGCACUUGCGUUGGCGUUGUCACGCGCAAGUCGGAUCCGAGGCAGAGCACAACGGCCACCCGCUCCUCACGCUACGCUGUGGUGACACUGUGGAACAUGGAGAGCAUCUCGCCAGCGCCGGAGACGGAGCUCAGCGUUCUGCUCUGCGGCAGCGCGUUUGACUUUCUUUACAGCCGCCUGGCCACUGGCACAGUUGUGGCUCUUAGCAACGUCGCGCGGUGCGCACGACGAGCCUCUGCGCCGGCGCACGACACCGACGAGGUGCUGCUGCGCGUGGCGGAUAGCGAGGCUGUCCGCCAGCUGGGCUUUGCCGCUGACCUCGGCACUUGUGCGUCCGUGACUUACAAGUCGAAGGAGCGUUGCCACACCAUGGUGAACACGCAGCGGUCGCAACACUGCAUCUACCACGUCGCAGGCCUUCGAAAGGCUGCGCGAAGCGGCGACACUGUAGGAACGGAACGCAACGCGACGCAUGGUGCGCGAGGUGCUAGCGCCUCGUCUCUUGGAGCUCCUGCAACCAUGAAGGGCAGCACCCUCACCACGCACCUUACCCUCUCCGGAGCACAGCAACGGCUUGCCGCCUUGGCGCCGGCCGGCGUCGCGCAGCGGCUAGCAGACCACCACCCUGCAGGCAGCAGCGGCCGUGCGUCACACCGUAGUGGCCCAGUGACGAACAGCAGGCUGGCUGCCUCGCAGCAGAUGCUUCGACAGACGUCGUUUUUCGCCGUGCGCGGCGCCACCGGGCUUCCUGUCGAGAAUGCCGCUCUCCGCAACUGCGUGAACUCAGCCGCCUCCGGUGUGUACGGCGGUGUGCAGACUGGCGCGCCUCUGGCGCUGCGGCAGCAGGUCGGUCUGCGUCCCGCCGCGAGCUACCCCUCGGCACAUAAGCUUGGCGUGACAUCGCGUGGUCGUGAUGUGCUGGAGGCCGCCCGCCAGCAGGCCGUCCACCACGAGGAAGAAAAGUUGCUUCGGCGACAACUGCGCCGCGGGAGGACAGCUAGCACUACAGGGGAAGGGCUGCCAAAUCAUGCGCGCACUGACGGCGGCGGCAGCAGCGGUGGCGAUGCUCUCAAUGUGGAUGCCCGAGCCCCAAGUCGUAGCACCGAAGGCGUCACUGGUGGCAGGGGCACGAGAACGCCGUCGACCGCCGGCGCGCAGAAGCGUGCGCGAAUGGAGGUAGCGCCGUCGUCCUCCCUUGCGACCUUCACGGAGCAUGCUACCUCUCCUUGUUCUUAUUCGUCGUCGCCGUCGUUUUCACCAGUCGCCUCAACAGCCAGCGCCGCCACCGCGACGCUGAGAGACGGGGCGGAUGGUAACCGAGUGGAGGCACUGCGACAGCAGUUCCAGCCACUGCGUCGCGGCGCAUCAGCCCCCUUCACGCCUAUCAGAAGCCACGGCGCCGUACAUGCCGUCAUCGCGUCGCCGCAGCAGAGGGACCACCGCCACAGCGUUGUGAUGUCCAGCGCCGUCGGCUCCGCUACAGGCGCUUCCGCGUCGCAAAACGCGCUAUUCCGUGCCGCUAUCGAAGCUGCGCGGGACGUCACGAGCAACUCGACAGAAAGCACGAAGUCGCCGCCCGAGGUGUCUACGAGUGCGUCGGCGAAGUUGCACGAAGCUGAAGACGGCGCGGCGUCCGCUCUCACGCUCCUUGGAUCGGUAGCGGACGGUAUCCACAGCGCACAUGAUCACUUGCGCAGCGAAUCCGACCGGCAGCAACUGCUCUGCUUCGUGAACAAGCAAAUCACAAGGGAGAAGGCGCUGGAGGCGCUGGAGGCGAUCACGGAGCAGCAGAUCAGGGCUCACUACUGCUAUGCGUGCCGCUGCUGGUACGGGCAGCCGCCAACGACCUGCGUAGAGCAGCACCACCGUGUGGAGCUGAAGCCGACGCUGAAGAAGUACAUCAAGUGCGAGCACUGCAACUACAAGACGUUUGUGAUUGGCGGUGAAGAGGCGAAGGGCUGGAGGGUGUACCCGCGUUGCCCGCGCUGCCAUCAGUCAAGUUUCUGGGUCCGCGGCGACGCGGCACUGCAGGUGCCCGUCGUGGUGGAGGCACCCCCGCCCCCGUGAGAGGAGGGGGCCACAGCGUAGAAGGAGUUGCAGAAAGCGUGCGCGAGAAAAGAAAGGACAACCGUGACGGACCACGCUCAGCGUGAGCUAUCGUGGUGGCGUAGAGAGGAUUUCCACAUGGGCCGCAGCAAAGGCAGCACAACGGACUCGCAUGGUCACCGCCGCUUAUGCGCUGCACCGCACCUUCUCCAACGUCCUCAAUGCUUUCUCGCUUCUCACCACCACUACCGCCUUCUCUCUCCCGGCCCUUCGUACGUCUACAUGUUUCUCGUGAUGGAUGAAG
rnacentral:misc_RNA from 1 species